rnacentral:lncRNA from 1 species
GGAAAAGAACAGAAACAAGUCCAUGGAUGGAGGCGCAAACAGAUUAACAGCUGGAGUGGUUUUAGAAAUGCAUGGUAACAUAACAGAGAAGCAAGCUGGCUAUCCUGGGCCUCUUACCCAGUAUGAGCCCCAAACAAGGGGAGACCACACAAACACACAGGAACAUAUGCGGGGUCAGGCUGCACAGUCACAGGGGUCAGAAUUCAUGCCUCCCACCACAAGGGAGGACACACAUCCUGGGCGGCCUGGGAUAUAUCUGCUUGAUGGCUGUUGACUUGGUUUUAUUUAUUUAGUGCUGGGGUGAGAACUUAGUCCCCGAUCAUGCUAGACACAUUCUCUAGCCAUGAGUCACAUGUCCAGCAUAUUGUAUAUAUAUACAUUAUAUAUAUAUAUAUAAUUUUGACAUGGGGUCUUGCUAAGUGGCCUUGAAUUUUUGAUUCUCCUGCCUCAGCCUCCGAAGUGCCUAAGGAGCUGACAGGAUUAUCAACAGUAUCUUUUUCUCUCUCAAAAGGACAGGUUUAGACCAUAACUUACACGGUGAUUGUACCACAAAACAGAAUGACCAGAGAAAGACAUAAGAGUAAAUGUCAAUGGGACUUUAUGGCAGUCCUCCUGAAGCCAACAGAUGACGGGAAAAACAGGAGUAGAUCCCUCGAGGGGCAAGCUUCAUGUUUUUCUUGCACAACAGAGAUUAAUUUAACCUCAGCUAAAUAAAGAUAACAAAAUUCCACACAGGGGAAGAGCUUGCCACAGCCGAUGGGAAGAUCUUAAACUCUAGAAAUUGCAAGUCAGGUUUCCCCAGGGAUGCUGGCCAGCUUUAGGUCAAAGGCGGGCACUGAGUAUAACAGCCUUCCAGUACGCCCAUGUUUGGUGAGCAGCGGGGGAUGGUGGUACAAUUUGCUGGCUUCAGAGUUCUCUGCAUGGAUUGUGAGCCUGCAAUCCUGUCUUUUAUACAACCAGUGGACCUGCCUGCUAGGUCAUCCUGGUCUCUGGAAUAAUAUAUUGGCUAGGAGAGGUUGCUCGAAGGUCAGGCUUUGACCUAAGUGAAUACAUACACAAUUUCCCCAAGAGGAGCCACUGGCCUGCAGUUCACCUCUGCCUCAGAUACCAAAGUCCAGCAUCAGUUCUGCCAUGACCAGAGGCGGACUGGCUAUGUCGCUCAAGAAGCUUCCGGGGCCCUGAACUUAAUUUCAUAUUCUUAAAACUGUCUUUGUAAAUAGUUCAGGUGUCCAGCCUUGAAGCCAGAAUCCACCCUGGUCAUGGGGGAGUUUUCCUCAGAGCAUCAACAGAUCUUAGUCUCCUGCUGUGAGGCACCUCUCAUGGGUACAGUCGGCCUUUGGGGUGUUGUGCCUUAGAGAACGCCCACCCACCUUCCCCUCCAGGUCAUUCUGAAUGAACCGCCAUAUCAGGAUGGUCCCGGGAGAAGUGAAGCGGGCUGGGCAGGAAGCAAGGAAUGGUGGUGGGGAGGGAGACGGGGGUCUGGAUGCAGCACAAAUCAGUGUGGCCUCUGAGUCUCGGUGAGGAGCCCAGAGCCCAGGCUGGUGCUGCACCAACACUAAGGACAUUCAUCUUCACCCCGUUCUCAACCCCGAGGUCUGCACACUACCAGGAACAGAGCAAAAUGGCUGACAGCGUCUCGGAUAGCCCAAGCUGGCCUCACCUCGACAUGGCCACCUUGAGGCUGGCCUCUGGCUUCCUACCUCCCGAGUGCAAGCUCGGUUACUAUAGGACUGCACCAUCACACCUGGUGGCCACUUUCUUUAAAGUGCGCACCUGGAAGUACAGCACAGCUGGAGGGGACAGUCUCAGUCUCAAGUGGUUCGUCUUUCUUCUCUCUCUCCUUCCCUCUCAAACCGUCCUAACACUCCAGACUUCUUUAUUUCCCUGCCCUGUGACUCAGCCAGGGAAGCAGUAACAAUGACCUUGACGUGACGGCCCUCUCCCCACCGAGCACACUGAGGGAGCAGGCAGCUGUUUUGGAGUCAAACACUGAACACACAUGCACUUGGUCCCUGUCACAGGUAGCACCUCUAGGGCAGAGACAAGGGUCUGGGGCUGCUGUUCCAUUUACAUUCACAGUAAAAACGCCGGGCGUGGUCUCAUCAGGGUCCCCUUCUGUCCAUAAAGAAGUCCCAGACACUGGCAGAAUAGGCACUUUAUUCCCCGCCUCUCCCUAUAGAUUAUAGGGAUGCUUUCUAUGUAAGAAGGUUUAGAGAUCUUUUUAGUUUUUUAAAAAAAAAAAUCAGGGAAUCUGUGUUACUUAUGAAAAUAAUGGGAGCGAUAGAUAUUAUUUGUCUUUAUACUGGUGCCAAAAAUAAAAAUUUAGAACUGUUGAAAAAGUUAUUGAAAUUAAGCUCUAGGUUAGAAAAAUUAAAAUAGAGAGGAACCAGGCGAAUUCUGUAGCACGGAUCUGCCAGACCGCAGGCCACGCCUAGGGCAGGCACCACAUGAGUCGCCGGCUUGAUGAUGAACAAUUAGGCCUAGCAUCACUGGCUGGGGCCAUCACCAGAGCGGGCACAUAACUGCUCCAUCAAGGAAUAGUGACACUGUAAAUGGAAGACCAGCCACCGGCUCUGGAAAAAAUAAACCUUGUCAGUUUUGGGUUCCAGCAGUCAUGGCUUUGACGCAUUUGCAUAGAGAAGGAUAGCUGGCCAGGCCCAGGCAGCCUGAGGCCAGCAGGUGGGGACAUGGCAAAGCUGUAAACACUGGAGUCUGUACCGGCUCCCAGUCCGUCCUCACACCAUGUUAUGGGAGAAGGGUCACAAGGUGUAACUCAAGCGGUUUAACACAUGAAAGCCUAAAGUCCGCUCUCGACAUGUAUGUCUGUGCGUGCUUUAACUGAAAAAUAAAAACGAAACAAACAAAACAAAACAGACACAUUAAAAGAUACGCAGACCAAAUCAAACAGAAGCAAAAGACAGCACUGGGCACUGGGAAAGAGCAGUCAGUUUGGCAUUUGUGACGAGCAAAGCAGGGAACUCGCUUCAGUUUGUGGCGUCCCGGGCUGAGGGUCAAAAUCUGAUUGGGAAGUAAUUUCGCAAAAAUUGAUUAAAAUUUAAAGAAUGGGUACAAACCAACCAAAGCCAUUUCACUAAAUGGCCAUGAAAAGCAUCCACUCCCCAAAUGCAUGCCUGGCCCACCCUAUCCCAGUGGGCCAGUGCAGGAGGGAGGGAGUCCUAAACCCCAAACCCCACCUCCUGCUGCAUAGGCACAGAUGCCUGCGGACCGGUACAUGCCACCUACCACACCUACCUGGCCCUGGGGCUUCUCCCAGGGGACACUUAUUUGGGCACAGGGGCUGCCAACCUCUACUUUCACAAGAUAGCCUGAACCAAGGUGGCAGGAGCAGGGCAACGCCAUUUGGGUGUACAGACUCUGUCCUCUGUUCCCCCAAGAAAGAGGGGUAUCUCUGAGCUGCCAGCUUAAAGCCCACAAUGGUUGCACCUCAGCCCCCACACUCAGCAAACCAAGCGCUCACUGGGCACGGGACCAGCUGAGGGCAACUGUAACAUUCUCUGUUAAGGGAAGCUGGGCCUGGAGCCCUUCCUGGGAACAGGUGGGCUGCCAGGCAAGACUACAAAAAGGGGGACCACUUGUCCCAAAGCAGAUAGCCAUCCCUGGAGACCCCCAUGUACAUCUAGUGCUGAGUGCUUGGUCUGCCCCAGUGAGAAGCACUCUAAGUUUGAGGCAGGAGAGUUGAGAGAGAGAGAGGAGGGGAAGGGAGGGAGGGGGAAAGGAGAGAGAGAGAGAGAGAGAAGAGGAGAAAAGAGAGAGGGAGAAAGGAGGGAGAGAGAGAAGAAAGAGGGGGAAGGGGGAGCAGAGGAGAGGGGAGGGGAAGGAGAGAGAGAGAAGAAGAGAGAGAGAGAGAGAGGAUGCUCAUGCCUAGAGGUGAGGCAGGACAUGGGAGUGUUCAUGCAUGAAGAUGUAUCCCAGGGCCACAGCUAACAAGCCCUGUGUGGCCCUGACCACUAGAGUCCACUGUCCCCAAGAAUGAAAGGCCAGGGUUCAUGCAUUCUUAAACAAUACAGGGGAAAACAGGAGCCCAGGAAUGAGGGUGAGGAUGGGUGGACCUGCUUGCUUAAUUUUCAGGUUGUCAAGAAAACAAUGAGACCAAAACAGGCCAAGGUCUGGGGAAACUGAGGCAGAUGGGAACACCAUGGUAUGAUGUAGCCUGAGUCUCCGAAUGAAGGAGACUGGGAGACUGAGAGCCACUGGAGACAGGUACCAGACUCCAGAUCAGGACAUGGGAAAGUGCUGUGCAGAACGCCAAUGUGGCUGCGGAUGCAGAUCAGCCAUAGAGAGCUUAGCUGGCAUGUGCGGGGGGCCCUGGGUUCAAGCCCCCCAAAACAAACAAUAAUAGCUUUUUCUUUCUUCUUCUUCUUCUUCUUCUUUUUUUUUUUAAAGCAAAUUAAAAAAUAAAAAGGCAGCAGAGGCAAGUUAGGGCAAGCAAAGAAAACGAGAGGGAGCGUGACUGGGGUCCCUCUGUCUGGUGAGCUGAUGUACCCGGGAAGAGCCUCCUUCCUCACCAUCUGCCGCUCUCUACAAGAACUGCUCCAGUCCCUACAAGAUGGGCAGCCCUGCUCCCUGGCACAGCCCCGGAGCUCUGCCAGGAGCCACCAUGUUUUGAGCCCUGCACGCCUUCCAAAGUAGCUGUGUAGAGAUGACAGUGGCGGGGACAGUGUUAUGAGUCACCUCCUGUUGUUAUGGGUCACCAUCGCCUAGCCUCGGGGACCGAGGAGGACACGUGCCACAGCCACUCAAGCAGAAGCACAGGGUCUGCUGGAAUCUGGCAGGAAAUGGGGACAGUCCUACACGAGUCCCUCUCCUGGCCUGACCGACUCGGACUCGUAGCUACCGUGCUUGACUUCCCUGCUAUUCACUGCCCACGUGACCCAGCCUCCUUCACUACAGCAGCAAAGAGGCCAGAUGCUGAGGAUGCUAUGGGGGAAUGAGGAGGAGAGAGAGCAAAGAGAGGGUGAGCACAGGGCUGCGUGGAGAGGAGACAGCUGUGAGACAGAUCCGGGGGGAGACACACUGAGACACUAGUGCAAGGUGGAGGGUAAGCGGUGAGCAUGAGGCUGGGGGGACAGGGGUGAGAAGUAAGUGUGAGGCUGGGGGUGAGCAGUGAGUGUGAGGCUGAGGGGGGGUGAGCAGUGAGUGUGAGGCUGGGGGUGAGCGGUGAGUGUGAGGCUGGAGGGGUGAGCAGUGAAUGUGAGGCUGGAGGGGGUGAGCAGUGAGUGUGAGGCUGGGGGGGUGAGAAGUGAGUGUGAGACUGGGGGGUGAGCGGUGAGUGUGAGGCUGAGGUGGGGGGAGCUGUGAGCGAGAGGGACAGAGGAGUGGAGAGAAGUCUGUCUAGCCCAGGGGUCAGGAGCCAGCCCAGAGAGGGAGAAACCACUUACUUCUUCUUGUCCUUGUCUUUCCUCAGAGGCUGCUGUGAAGUGGCAUGCAAGGCCUGUGACUGCAGGGCCUCCAUGGCCGCCUUCCGGCAGUUGAAGGCGUUGGUCUCCUCUUCCAGCUCCCUGCGCUUCUCCUCUACCUUGCGCUUCUCCUCCUGGUGGAUUCGCUUCAGGUGCUCAAACUUCUCAUGG